GCUCAGUUCUCCACACAAGCUACUUCCAAAAACUUCACAGCCAUUUGAAAUCUGUCUUCAGUAGCAAACAAGGAUGCAGAUUUAUCUGGUUAUAGGGAGAAGAGAAGAAAUGCUGACAGACUGUUAGGCAUGAAAUGUUUUUAGCAGACAUCUAAAAGCAAAAGAAGAGUCACGCACAUUCACAUAUAGACACACACACACGCUCCGCCUUCCUAUUUUUUUGAAGGAGACAAGUCAGAAUUCAGAUGAUGAGAUGAAGGGGACUGAACAGAGUAUAAUAAAUAGCGCCCAUACGUAGAUGGAAGCCAGAGCAGUUGACUGAAAGGUGUAUUUUUGUCAGACUCACUGCUGUUCCUGGGAAUUCAAGAGCAGACAUGUGGCCAAACAGCCUCUGGAAUUGCAAAACUUGGCAAAGGUGGAAAUAUCCAAUAGAUGGAGCAGUCACAACCAUUAACCAUGCCAGGAAUUGUUUCUCCUUAACAGACUUUUCAUACCUCCUCUGCCACUUGAUUCUCAUCCACGUGUCUAUAUUGGCCAGAUUCAAGGAAAGAAAGGCAA